UUGGUUAAGUUAGAAAGGGCGCACGGUGGAUGCCUUGGCACUAGGAGCCGAAGAAGGACGGGACUAACACCGAUAUGCUUUGGGGAGCUGUACGUAAGCGUUGAUCCAGAGAUUUCCGAAUGGGGGAACCCACUAUCUUUAGUCGGAUAGUAUCCUUACGUGAAUACAUAGCGUGAGGAAGGCAGACCCAGGGAACUGAAACAUCUAAGUACCUGGAGGAAGAGAAAGAAAAAUCGAUUUCCUGAGUAGCGGCGAGCGAAACGGAAAGAGCCCAAACCAAGAAGCUUGCUUCUUGGGGUUGUAGGACACUCUAUACGGAGUUACAAAAGAAAGUUAUAAAUGAAGCGGUCUGGAAAGGCCCGCCAAAGACGGUAACAGCCCGGUAGUUGAAAUGGCUUUCCCUCCAGAGUGGAUCCUGAGUACGGCGGAACACGUGAAAUUCCGUCGGAAUCCGGGAGGACCAUCUCCCAAGGCUAAAUACUCCCUAGUGACCGAUAGUGAACCAGUACCGUGAGGGAAAGGUGAAAAGCACCCCGGAAGGGGAGUGAAACAGUUCCUGAAACCGUGUGCCUACAAGUAGUUAGAGCCCGUUAAUGGGUGAUAGCGUGCCUUUUGUAGAAUGAACCGGCGAGUUACGAUUUGUUGCAAGGUUAAGCGGAAAAAGCGGAGCCGUAGCGAAAGCGAGUCUGAAUAGGGCGCAUAAGUAACAGGUCGUAGACCCGAAACCAGGUGAUCUACCCAUGUCCAGGAUGAAGGUAAGGUAAUACUUACUGGAGGUCCGAACCCACGCACGUUGAAAAGUGCGGGGAUGAGGUGUGGGUAGCGGAGAAAUUCCAAUCGAACUUGGAGAUAGCUGGUUCUCUCCGAAAUAGCUUUAGGGCUAGCCUCGAGGUAAAGAGUCAUGGAGGUAGAGCACUGUUUGGACUAGGGGCCCUUCUCGGGUUACCGAAUUCAGAUAAACUCCGAAUGCCAUGUACUUAUACUCGGGAGUCAGACUGCGAGUGAUAAGAUCCGUAGUCGAAAGGGAAACAGCCCAGACCACCAGUUAAGGUCCCCAAAUAUAUGUUAAGUGGAAAAGGAUGUGGGGUUGCUUAGACAACCAGGAUGUUGGCUUAGAAGCAGCCACCAUUGAAAGAGUGCGUAAUAGCUCACUGGUCGAGUGACCCCGCGCCGAAAAUGUACCGGGGCUAAACAUAUUACCGAAACUGUGGAUGAACCUCUUUAGAGGUUCGUGGUAGGAGAGCGUUCUAAGGGCGGUGAAGUCAGACCGGAAGGACUGGUGGAGCGCUUAGAAGUGAGAAUGCCGGUAUGAGUAGCGAAAGAAGGGUGAGAAUCCCUUCCACCGAAUAUCUAAGGUUUCCUGAGGAAGGCUCGUCCGCUCAGGGUUAGUCGGGACCUAAGCCGAGGCCGAUAGGCGUAGGCGAUGGACAACAGGUAGAGAUUCCUGUACCAGUGCUAAUUGUUUAACCGAUGGGGUGACACAGAAGGAUAGGGAA
rnacentral:rRNA from 1 species